AUUGAACGCUGGCGGCAUGCCUUACACAUGCAAGUCGAACGGUAACAGGUCUUCGGAUGCUGACGAGUGGCGAACGGUGAGUAAUACAUCGGAACGUGCCCGAGAGUGGGGGAUAACGAAGCGAAAGCUUUGCUAAUACCGCAUACGAUCUCAGGAUGAAAGCAGGGGACCGCAAGGCCUUGCGCCCCCGGAGCGGCCGAGGGCAGAGUAGGUAGUUGGUGGGAUAAAAGCUUACCAAGCCGACGAUCUGUAGCUGGUCUGAUAGGACGACCAGCCCCACUGGGACUGAGACACGGCCCAGACUCCUACGGGAGGCAGCAGUGGGGAAUUUUGGACAAUGGGCGCAAGCCUGAUCCAGCCAUGCCGCGUGCAGGAUGGAGGCCUUCGGGUUGUAAACUGCUUUUGUACGGAACGAAAAGACUCUGGUUAAUACCUGGGGUCCAUGACGGUACCGUAAGAAUAAGCACCGGCUAACUACGUGCCAGCCGCCGCGGUAAUAC
rnacentral:rRNA from 1 species